rnacentral:rRNA from 1 species
GAUGAACGCUAGCGGCGGGCUUAAUACAUGCAAGUCGAGGGGUAGCAAUACACCGGCGCACGGGUGCGUAACGCGUAUGCAACCUACCUUUAUCAGGAGGAUAGCCCGGGGAAACCCGGAUUAAUACCGCAUAAUAUAUUUGGCGGCAUCGGUAGAUAUUGAAAGAUUUAUUGGAUAGAGAUGGCCAUGCGUAGGAUUAGCUAGUUGGGGAGGUAACGGCUCACCAAGGCGACGAUCCUUAGGGGCUCUGAGAGGAGUAUCCCCCACACUGGCACUGAGAUACGGGCCAGACUCCUACGGGAGGCAGCAGUAGGGAAUAUUGGGCAAUGGGCGAGAGCCUGACCCAGCCAUGCCGCGUGCAGGAAGACGGCCCUCUGGGUUGUAAACUGCUUUUGAAUGGGAAGAAAGGCAUCCUUGCGAGGGUGAUUGACGGUACCAUUAGAAUAAGCCACGGCUAACUACGUGCCAGCCGCCGCAGUAAAAC